GAUGAACGCUGGCGGCGUGCUUAACACAUGCAAGUCGAACGGUGAAGGCGGAGCUUGCUCUGCUGGAUCAGUGGCGAACGGGUGAGUAACACGUGUGCAAUCUGCCCCUGACUCUGGGAUAAGCGCUGGAAACGGCGUCUAAUACUGGAUACGAGCUGCGAAGGCAUCUUCAGCAGCUGGAAAGAACUUCGGUCAGGGAUGAGCUCGCGGCCUAUCAGCUUGUUGGUGAGGUAACGGCUCACCAAGGCGUCGACGGGUAGCCGGCCUGAGAGGGUGACCGGCCACACUGGGACUGAGACACGGCCCAGACUCCUACGGGAGGCAGCAGUGGGGAAUAUUGCACAAUGGGCGAAAGCCUGAUGCAGCAACGCCGCGUGAGGGACGACGGCCUUCGGGUUGUAAACCUCUUUUAGCAGGGAAGAAGCGAAAGUGACGGUACCUGCAGAAAAAGCGCCGGCUAACUACGUG
rnacentral:rRNA from 1 species